rnacentral:rRNA from 1 species
CCUACGGGAGGCCGCAGUAGGGAAUUUUCGUCAAUGGGCGCAAGCCUGAACGAGCAAUGCCGCGUGAACGAGGAAGGUCUUCGGAUCGUAAAGUUCUGUUGAAGGGGAAAAAGAGCGGAGCGAGGAAAUGCUUUCUGAUUGAUAUUACCCUUCGAGGAAGUCACGGCUAACUACGUGCCAGCAGCCGCGGUAAUACGUAGGUGGCGAGCGUUAUCCGGAAUGAUUGGUCGUAAAGGGUGCGUAGGCGGCCUGCUAAGUCUGGAGUGAAAGGUACCGGCUCAACCGGUACAGGCUCUGGAAACUGGCGGGCGAGAGAGCAGGAGAGGGCGGUGGAACUCCAUGUGUAGCGGUAAAAUGCGUAGAUAUCGCGCAGAACCCAGAUUGCGAAGGCAGCGUGCCGUGCCGCCACUGACGCUGAGGCACGAAAGCGCGGGGAUCGAACAGGAUUAGAUACCCCAGUAGUC